CCUACGGGUGGCUGUAGUCGAGGAUCUUCGGCAAUGGGCGCAAGCCUGACCGAGCGACGCCGCGUGUGCGAUGAAGGCCUUCGGGUUGUAAAGCACUUUAGUGGGGGAGAAAAGCGCAAGCUUGAUCUAUCCCAAGAAUAAGCACGGGCUAAGUUCGUGCCAGCAGCCGCGGUAAGACGAACCGUGCGAACGUUGUUCGGAAUCACUGGGCUUAAAGGGCGCGUAGGCGGCUUGCCAAGUCAGGGGUGAAAUCCUCCAGCUUAACUGGAGAAGUGCCUUUGAUACUGGCAAGCUCGAGCGAGGUAGGGGCAGAUGGAACUUCCGGUGGAGCGGUGAAAUGCGUUGAUAUCGGAAGGAACGCCGGUGGCGAAAGCGAUCUGCUGGACCUCUUCUGACGCUGAGGCGCGAAAGCUAGGGUAGCGAACGGGAUUAGAUACCCCGGUAGUC
rnacentral:misc_RNA from 1 species